GGAAGGUGCUGUGUCUAGGAGAAGAAAUAAAGAAGAAAAGUGACGGCCGCACAGUACCAAGAGAAAUAAGGAAGAAAAUUGACGGCUGCACAAUACCAACAGACGAUGAAAAGAAAAUUGACUUUCGAUGAUGGUAAUAGUUAUUCUUUCUCCAGUGGGAAUGAAGGUCAUGGCUCAGACCAUGUUGAACAGUUUUGUGGGCAUGAAGUUUCAGAGGAUGGUGAACAAUCAAUUUAACCCGAACUUACCCCAUCUAAUUUUGUACACUUGCCUUCGGUCACAUGGUGGAAGAAUUUGUCAUAUAAUGGGAUACAUGGGUGCUCAGAAAGAAUACAAAACCAUUGACAACUAAUGCAAACAUUGAAGUGAAGUCUGUGUCAUUAGUUGAUUCUCUAAUCCAAAAUGACAAAAAAAGGAAAUUCAAUGGUAGCAUUAACUGAAGUAGGCAAAAGAAAUGUAAAGUGGUACCACAGAUUUAGAGAAUAGACAUGAAUGACUAAGGAGUUUGAGUGGCUAAGUGGAUGACAUAGUGUGCGUUUAGAAGUGCUUUUGAUAAGGAGAGCAUUGGUCAAAAUUUGAAUUAAUCAAUUUUGAUUUCUCUUGAUCAAUUUGUAGGACCAUUUUGUGCCUAUUUAUUGAUAAUGUUUUCCUUACUUUUUAAGCAUGCUUUGGUUUCUUAUUUUGGUAUUUUUGUAUGAAGUUUGACAAAUUUGAGU